UACGAAGGGGGCUAGCGUUGCUCGGAAUCACUGGGCGUAAAGGGUGCGUAGGCGGGUCUUUAAGUCAGGGGUGAAAUCCUGGAGCUCAACUCCAGAACUGCCUUUGAUACUGAGGAUCUUGAGUUCGGGAGAGGUGAGUGGAACUGCGAGUGUAGAGGUGAAAUUCGUAGAUAUUCGCAAGAACACCUGUGGUGUAGACAGCUUACUGGACCACUUCUGACGCUGAGACACGAAAGCGUGGGUAGCAAACAGG
rnacentral:rRNA from 1 species